rnacentral:sRNA from 1 species
CAUCCUCCAAGGCUAAAUACUACUGACUGACCGAUAGUGAACCAGUACCGUGAGGGAAAGGCGAAAAGAACCCCGGAGAGGGGAGUGAAUUAGAACCUGAAACCGUAUGCGUACAAGCAGUGGGAGCCUACUUUGUUAGGUGACUGCGUACCUUUUGUAUAAUGGGUCAACGACUUGGUCUCACGAGCAAGCUUAAGCCGUUAGGUGAAGGCGCAGCGAAAGCGAGUCUGAACAGGGCGUUCAGUUCGUGGGAUCAGACCCGAAACCGAGUGAUCUAGGCAUGUCCAGGAUGAAGGUGCAGUAACAUGCACUGGAGGUCCGAACCCACACCUGUUGAAAAAGGUCGGGAUGAGGUGUGCCUAGGGGUGAAAGGCCAAUCAAACUCGGAGAUAGCUGGUUCUCCGCGAAAACUAUUUAGGUAGUGCGUCAGACGAAUACCGACCGGGGUAGAGCACUGGAUGGGUAAUGGGGACCCACAGUCUUACUGACUCCUAACCAAACUCCGAAUACCGGUGAGUACUAUCUGGCAGACAGACGUCGGGUGCUAACGUCCGUAGUACG